CCAAGCUUUUGGGUGGAGUUGCGAACGCGUUUAUGGCGACCGGGAUCCUGUGCUGCCUCUGUACAUGCUUCUGUUGUAGACGAAACUGGAAGGAAGGACUCCAUAACAUCGGCAGCGGCAUCCUCCCCUUCAUAGAAGAAAAAAUAGGAGGAAAGAAAGACGCAGAAAAAGAAGAAG